ensembl:lincRNA Gm3143 predicted gene 3143
AAGCAGCACCCUCCAUGGCCUAUGCAUUAGCUCCUGCCUCCAGGUUCCUGCCCUGCUUGAGUUCCAGUCCUCACUUCCUUUGGUGAUGAACAUCGAUGUGGAAAUAUAUUCUAUGAAUUUUCCCAGGAACCUGUGACCAAAGGUCUAUUUCACAUCAGAUAGCCUACUCACCUGAGGGAAAGACACCCGCCUAAGAUCACAGGUCAAACCAGGCAUGGUUGUUUAUACCUGUACUCCAAACAUUAAGGAAGUAGACGCAGGAGGAUCCGAGUUCGAAACCAGCUCUGAAUGUACAGAGAAUUCGAGGCCAGCUGGGCCCACAGGACCCGUUUCUCAACAACCAACCAACCAUGGAAACCGGAGAAACUUUGAUCCUCAGAGAGAUCUAGAAGCCUGCUGAAGCCUGCAAGCAAGACUACUACAUGCAAGCCUACAACCUCCCUCAAGCUUCCUCACCCUAAACCGGAGAGUCACCCCCUGAGCCUCCUUCCUGCUGGGGAACCCACUCCUUGGUCAGCAGUCUCCAAAUGAAGAAACCGGAAGAGCCAGAGCCAACUGAAGUGUGUCCGUGAGCAUGCGCAGCCCUCGGUGCGGCUGGCUUAACUCCUGCGUUUUCCGCAGCCCUUUCUGUGUACUCAUAGCUCAUAGGAAAGUCACGUUUUGCUGUAGAACUAAAGUUUAUGACAGCG